rnacentral:rRNA from 1 species
AUGAACGCUAGCGACAGGCCUAACACAUGCAAGGUCGAGGGGCGAUCGGGGUGUAGCAAUACGCUGCCGGCGACCGGCGGAUGGGUGAGUAACGCGUAUGCAACCUGCCUUCAGCAGGGGGAUAGCCCGUUGAAAGACGGAUUAAUACCCCGUAACACACGGGGCUCCGCAUGGAGAUUAUUGUUAAAGGGAUGCUUCCUUCGGGGGAGUAUUCCGGCUGAAGAUGGGCAUGCGUUCCAUUAGGUAGUUGGUUGAGGUAACGGCUCACCAAGCCUGCGAUGGAUAGGGGAACUGAGAGGUUGGUCCCCCACACUGGUACUGAGACACGGACCAGACUCCUACGGGAGGCAGCAGUGAGGAAUCUUGGUCAAUGGGCGAGAGCCUGAACCAGCCAAGUCGCGUGAAGGAAGAAGGUUCUAUGGAUUGUAAACUUCUUUUGCAGGGGAAUAAAGGACGGUACGUGUACUGUUUUGUAUGUACCUUGCGAAUAAGGAUCGGCUAACUCCGUG